rnacentral:rRNA from 1 species
GUGCCAGCCGCCGCGGUAAGACGAACCGUGCGAACGUUGUUCGGAAUCACUGGGCUUAAAGGGCGCGUAGGCGGGCGAUUAUGUCCGAGGUGAAAGCCUCCCGCUCAACGGGAGAAGGGCCUUGGAAACUGAUCGUCUCGAGGGGCGUAGGGGGACCUGGAACUUCCGGUGGAGCGGUGAAAUGCGUUGAGAUCGGAAGGAACGCCCGUGGCGAAAGCGAGGUCCUGGACGCCUACUGACGCUGAGACGCGAAAGCUAGGGGAGCAAACGGGAUUAGAUACCCCUGUAGUCC